AAUGAACGUUGGCGGCGUGGAUUAGGCAUGCAAGUCGUGCGCGAACCGUAGCAAUACGGGGAAAGCGGCGAAAGGGAGAGUAAUGCGUGGAUACCUACCCUCCGGCCCGGGAUAGCCACGGGAAACUGUGGGUAAUACCGGAUAACGUCUCCGGACCAAAGGUGUGAUUCCUCCGGAGGAUGGGUCCGCGUCCUAUCAGCUUGUUGGCAGGGUAAUGGCCUACCAAGGCAAUGACGGGUACGAGGUGUGAGAGCAUGACCUCGCUCACUGGGACUGAGACACUGCCCAGACACCUACGGGUGGCUG
rnacentral:rRNA from 1 species